rnacentral:tRNA from 1 species
GGCCCCUUUGUCUAAUCGGCCAGGACGCAGGACUUUCAAUCCUGAAGUGCCGGGUUCAAAUCCCGCAGGGGUCACCA